GAUGAAGAACGUAGCGAAAUGCGAUAAGUAAUGUGAAUUGCAGAAUUCAGUGAAUCAUCGAAUCUUUGAACGCACAUUGCGCCCCCUGGUAUUCCGGGGGGCAUGCCUGUCCGAGCGUCAUUACAACCCUCAAGCUCAGCUUAGUGUUGGGCCCCGCCGCCCCGGCGGGCCCUAAAGUCAGUGGCGGUGCCGUCCGGCUCCGAGCGUAGUAAUUCUUCUCGCUCUGGAGGUCCGGUCGUGUGCUCGCCAGCAACCCCCAAUUUUUUUCAGGUUGACCUCGGAUCAGGUAGGGAUACCCGCUGAACUUAAGCAUAUCAAUAAGCGGAGGA
rnacentral:misc_RNA from 1 species